AUUGAACGCUGGCGGCAGGCCUAACACAUGCAAGUCGAGCGGAGCGGCGGACGGGUGAGUAAUGCCUAGGAAUCUGCCUGGUAGUGGGGGAUAACGUCCGGAAACGGGCGCUAAUACCGCAUACUAUCAGAUGAGCCUAGGUCGGAUUAGCGAGUUGGUGGGGUAAAGGCCUACCAAGGCGACGAUCCGUAACUGGUCUGAGCGGAUGAUCAGUGACACUGGAACGUAGACACGGGCCAGACUCCUACGGGAGGCAGGGGUGGAGAGUAUGGGGCAAUGGGCGAAAGCCGGGUCCAGCCGGGCCGCGUGUGUGAAGAAGGUCUUCGGAGUUUAAAGCACUUUAAGUUGGGAGGCGGUACCAACAGAAUAAGCACCGGCUAACUUCGUGCCAGCCGCCGCGGUAAUAC
rnacentral:rRNA from 1 species